rnacentral:rRNA from 1 species
CCUACGGGGGGCUGCAGUCGAGAAUCUUCCGCAAUGGGGGAAACCCUGACGGAGCGACGCCGCGUGCGGGAUGAAGGCCUUCGGGUUGUAAACCGCUGUCACACGUUAUGAAAGAAACGGAGUUAAAAGCUCUGGGUCUUGACAAAGGCGUGGGAGGAAGCCACGGCUAACUUCGUGCCAGCAGCCGCGGUAAGACGAAGGUGGCGACCGUUGUUCGGAAUCACUGGGCAUAAAGAGCUCGUAGGCGGUGAGAAAAGUAGGGUGUGAAAUCCCUCGGCCCAACCGAGGAACUGCGCUCUAAACUGUCUUGCUUGAGGACCGAAGGGGACCACGGAAUUCCUGGUGGAGCGGUGAAAUGCGUUGAUAUCAGGAGGAACACCGGCGGCGAAGGCGGUGGUCUGGUCGGUUUCUGACGCUGAGGAGCGAAAGCUAGGGGAGCAAACGGGAUUAGAUACCCCUGUAGUC